AAUGAAAUGCCUGAUAAAAGGAUUACUUUGAUAGAGUAAAUCAUGUAGGAUUCCUACUUUCAUUA
rnacentral:tRNA from 1 species